rnacentral:lncRNA from 1 species
AAACAACAGGGAGACUGAGAACCUGAACGAUUCAGUGUGCUCCUUGUGGUCACUGCUGUGAAAGUGGCUCAUGAGAGAGGUUGCAGGGCAGUCCACCAGCCUGUCCAGUGUCCAGCAGGGGCUCAGGAGACACACAGCAACUGCACCCCACCUUCCUGUCUGCUGGCUGGAGACGCCCUUCCCCUCCUCAUGAAGACAAUGGCUGGACAUCCUGUGGAGCUGGACCCUAAACCGGUGAGGGUAGUCUGAUAAACACUGAAGCAGAGAUGAGACGGAGGUGAGGAAGGAUGCCAGGCAGGAGUCUGGGGGCAAAGUGUUGGGGCAAAGGCAACGGCCAGUCAAGAGCUCUGAGUGGGGAGUGUGCUCACCAGGAUUCCUAACAGCGCAUCACUGACAAGGUCUUUGCUAUCCAAGGUUUCAACGUUUC